GCAUGCCACCACAGUUCUCUAACUUUAUCUUUGCACUUCCUAGAAAUAAUACGAACUCAAUAUAUUUAAUUACAUACGUAUAUGGGCAGCACUUCAAUCAAUUAAUCCUUACUCAAAUUUAUAUUUUCAUCCUAGCAUGAAACCGUCUUUAAUUAACCACAUCUUCAUACAUUUUUACCAAAAUUACUUACAUCCAUUGCUUACGAAAUUCCUUAGAUUAUAUCAUUGGCAACUUAUUUAUGAUGUCAUGUGCCUUUUUCCACCUUUCUAAAUAAUUUCCGCCCAAAUCCAUCUUAUAUUUCCACACAUAAUCCACAUAUAUGGUAGCAACAAUUAUUCUCACUUUCACUCGAUUAUUUCCUAGUUUACACGCAUUGUUAUCUAUCUAACUUUCAAUACUUUGUUUCUCAAUCCUCCAUCCACAAUAUUCCUUUUUUAUUUCUUUCAAACAACAUGCCAUACAAUCUUAACAAUUUUCAACUAGCUUAUGCAAAUAGAUCCUUUCAACAACCAUAAUUCCAUCACAAUAUUCAACUAACUGUAGGCUUUAAAACAUAGUGUUAAGCUUACCGUUUCCCUUUUCCACUUUGAGUCCUUCAUGUACCCAUGGGUUUAUUGGCUUACAUGUUACCAAUUUUUCUCUAAUCAAGCCAAUCUUUACUGCCACAAGACAUUUCUCUAAGUCACUAACUCAUUUUCAAAGACUACUUAAGCCAAAAACAAGAAUUCUUACCGUUCCUUACUUGAAUCACCAUAACCAAGCUUUUUCUUCCUUUCUCUCUUUUUCUUUCUUCUCCUAGGGUUUUGGUGUGUUGGAAAUUGGGGUUAAAGGUUGUAAAUUUAAUGCUCAAGAAGUUUGGAGAAGAAAGAAAAAAAAACAUGGAAAGGAAAGUGAAGAAAACUUGAUUUCAUGGUGGAUAAAGAGAAAAUGGCAUGGAAGCUUCAAGAAUGGUGCGGAGAAUGGAUGAAGAAGAAGAAAAAUCUGCUGGGGGAAAGGAUAAGGUCGGUCUUGGCAUAAAAAAAUCGGAGUCAAAGCUUUCUUUGGAAGCUUUGACCAAACUUCUCAUAAAAUUACCGUUUUGCCUUUUUUUUUGUUUCCUUUGAUUUUAAUCGAGUCCUCCCAACACUCAUUUAACUCCAAUUUCCUUCUACUACCUUCUCCUACACAUGCACAAACAAAGUAUGAGGAUUGUACUCCAACGCGGUGUCCCCAUAAUAUUUAAAAUAUUUAUUUGCCCGCGUUGUCUUUACUUAAUAAAGACACGCGGCCCCAUUAACAUCAUUUUUCUCCAAAAAUCCUCUCAUUCUUCUUCUCUCCCACUUAGAUUGACCAUAUAUUCAUUCUUCAUGAAAAAUUUUAACACUGAAUAAAAUAUUAAUAUUUUAAUAUUAUUUUAUUAAUAAAAUAUUAUUUUAUUUUAAAAAUUUCCUUGUCUCCUCUUGUCACCUUGGUACUCAAAAUACCUUAUUAUGUCUUAAUUGACUUUCGAAUCACUUUUUAUCUUGCAAAUUCUUCUCCGAUAAAAAUAUCAUUAUUUUAUUAUUAUUUCCUCGUGUGCGGAAUAUUUUAUCCCAAACUAUUCCUUUCAUCUUUCAUCAUUUCUAAACAUUAUAAUUAACCUCAAUUGGCAUCCAAUAAGCUUUAUUAGUCACCAUAUCAAAGUACGAGAUAUUACACUCUCCCCCACUUAAAUAGAAUUCGUCCUCGAAUUCUCUUUAACAUCGAGUUGUUAACCUCACUCAAUGAUCAUAUUCCAUUUCCUUCUUCAUAGGGAAUUUUGAUUUACGCACCUCAUUAUCUUCAAUUUGACUAGAACACUUUACAAGGUCAGGGUACGUAACUUAUAUCUAUUAUCAUCCUUGAGUCAAAACCAUGGUACCCUCCUCAAUUAUUCUUUCUUAUCAUUAAGAUCCCAUGUAUGCCUUUGAUUCUAUCACUAACCUUAAACAUAUCUUUAUUUCGAUUUUUAUCAAACCUUCAGUCAUUCAUUCACCUCGUUUACCUCCAGUUCGACUAGAAUGCUUCACUUAUGUUUGUUAUCAUCCUUUAGAAUCAAAUCGACGUUACACUUCACGAUCUUUAUCUCUUAUUUUAAGAUGUCGAGUAUGCCAUUAUCCCCAUCAUUAAAUUUGAACCAUAACUCCCUCUUGAUCAUACCGAUUUAAAUCACAUUUUAUACUAUGUAUACCAAUCACCAUCUUCUUACUUCAUUCCUUGUCAAACUUCUCAACAUUCAUUCAUCCUAUCCUUAUACACCAUUAUAUGACUUAUGGCAUCAUAAAAUGCCCUAUUUAUUCCUAUACAUAUUUCCAACAUUCUAGGGAGUUGAAUCUUUCAACUGUUCCUUCAUACUUCAUGUCUCUUUUUUUUUGUAUUUAUGCAACUCAAAUCUUCGUAAUCAAAUCAGUCCAUCUUGCAUGGCUUAAUCACGCCAUAGAUAACAUUUCCUUGAUAUCAUUUCUUUGGAUAUUUCUCCAAAAUUUCUUAUAUAAAUAUAGUUCUACUUUUGAUGGGAUUUCUUAUCAUUGUAUUAUCCAUACAACUCAUCAAAUAUAUUGAGUUCAAAUCUUGAAUCUCUAAAGACAGUUCUUCAUUUUAGUUGGCCACAUCAUCAAUCCCACACAUACGUAUGUACACGUACUUCUAAUGUCAAUACCAUAAGUUAUCUCUUACAUAAUCCGUAUGAAUUCUCAUUAUGCCUACACAAAACUUCACAUCAUUUACAUGCUGAUACUCCCUUCUUAUCAUUACCAAUUAUAUACUUAAGUUUCAUUGUACUAUAUAUAUAUAUCCUUGCACCACAAUGUCAUUAGUCACAUUUCAUUUACUAAAUAUCAUUUUCAUUAUCUUGCAAUCCAGUAUGUGUAUAUGCUUUAUAACCUCAUUGAUACUUUAAAGAUUCAUUUUUACUUGAUCAUUGCAUCUUAUGCAAUACCACAAUCCCUCCAAGUCAUCCCUAUUUCUCAAUUAUCUUUCAUGUCUCUAACAUGUAUAUUAUAUUCUUUUUGCAAUUCGUGACUAAUUAGUCACUUAAGACUUAGACUUAUUCAAUUAUGCAUAGAAUAUGCGUUUCCAAAUUUCGAUUCCCAUAAUACAUUAGAAGGUUUUCAUUAUCUGACUUCACUAUCGAGAUUACCUUCAACCAUUCUUUAUACUAUUCUCUUAUACUGAUAUAACAUCAUUCUCCUUUAGUCAAUUCACAAUUUGUACUUGGAAUUGCAAGACUGGAAACAAGGUUUGUCUCAAGCACCUUUCAAAGUGACUGUGAGUACCACUCCCAACUUACAGCUUCUUUUUUGUAACCAUAUAACUUAAUGCUAGCUUUCACAAGAUCCAUAGCAGAACUCUUCUUGAGUAUUUCUUUGGGGAUACCUAUCUUAAACUCAUGUCUCACCGUAUAUGAACACUUAACCUGUGACUUAGCGAUUAGGCUCCUCAGGAAGUUUAAAAAAUCCCACAUUUUAUACUUGCUGUGUAUGAUUAGUAAUUCCUUCUCAAAGAUGUUUGUGCAGUCCUGAAACACUUAGUCUCUUAUUUGCUCCUUCACAUCCCGAGCAUAUCAUUCUCUAGACAUGCACUCUUUCUUAAAGAUAUAUAAAUACAUAUUCGUCCAUUCAAUCCCCAAUUCAUCUUCAUAGGUUUCUAAUGUGCCACACAAUUGGCCUUGUGUUGUUACUAACCAUUUUCAUUUAGCUGAGUCAAGACAAGAAUUGUAAUUUCUCAUAACGAUAUUCUGGAUAAACCCAUUUGCUAUACCACCCUUGUAAUCCUUCAUUCAAACUUUCAUCACUUGGUAUUGACAUCCCUUAUCCAUAUCUCAUAUAUUCAUCUAACUCUUCAAUCACUUUUUCCUUAGUCUUUAACAAGGCUUAAUCUCUCGUCUCUUUUAUUUCUUAGGGUUUGCCUUUAGUCAACAUAUUAUCCAUCUUAAUACUUCACAUGAUAUCUUAUCUCAAUGUAGUCAUCUCAAGAAUUCUUCAACUUCUCUUUUAAUUAUAUGCCCAUAUACAAGGCAAUAAAGAAACUUUUCAAUUCAUUUAUGUAAACAUUCUCCAAAACAUUUAAAACUCCCAAAUAACAAAGCUCAAUGACCAAUGACCAUAAUUCAGUUUGUAAGCUCAUUAUAGUGCCAUUCCUAUUUUGCUCAUGCAUCUUAGACAUGAGGAGUCCCUAGCGCUGCGACACUAGACAAUCAGUGCUGCAGUGUCGCGACUGCUGGACAAUCAAUGCUGCAGCGUUGCGGCUGCUGGACAUGGGAUAGUUUCAACACUGCAGUGCUAAAGAGUUACUAUUGCAGUACUAUGGCUGUUGGAAAUUUCUUUCACGAAUAAGUUCUUCCAUCUUUAAAGUUACUACAGGGAUCAUGCUCAUCCAUUUGGCUCUCCUCCAAGCCUAUCCCACAAAUUUCAUGAUCAGGUGUAUCUUAUCUUUUGAUCAUCAUAUGCACUAAGCCAAGUCAAUAUUUUCUAACUCAUUUUAUCCCUUAACAUUUAUCUUCUACCAAUAAGUCCCACCUCAAGACAAUCUUGCCAUAUUGUGCAACAAAUUCUCAAUAUAUAAUACCACACACAAAAUUAUUUAUCAUUUACGACACUCCGCAAUUCCUUAACAUUCACGAUUAAUUGUCUUUCUUGUCUUGUAACUCAAAUAGUUUUGUUGACUUUUAGUACAAAUGGCCAUGAAAAUAGUUCAUCUUUCUCCAUGCUCUACAUUCACAAUCUUUAUUAAAUCAAGGCUUCACCUUUUUCCCAAGUUCCAUAAUUUAACUCAUUGGGCUAUAUUUGUGCCCAAAUAUUACCUCAUAAUGUCAUGGCAUCAUUUUGUAACUCCCUCCAAACUUAAAUUUUACAAUCCUUGACUUAAUCACAUCAUCCAUUCUAAGUGUCACCUAUAUUCUCAUUGAUUUCUCCUAUAUUCUUCCAAAUUGUAAUUGUAACUGGGAUUUCAAAUUUCACCUUUCCACGAUUAAUUGGUAAUCCUUUGUCAGAUCUCGUAGUUGUUUGUAUCAUUAAUGACUUUCUACAUUGAUCCUUAAUAAUUAUCCAAGGCAACCAAUGACGCCACUAAGGUGAAUAUCCUCCCUCAAUCAUUAUAUCGCUAAUCUAUCUCUAUCGUAUCAAAGGACUCCAAUAAGCAUCAAGUCAUUAAAACAGCUACUUCAUAAUCCAUUUAAGUCAUACAAAAUAAAAGCCAACUCUUAACUCCUUUGUACAGAUAAUUACUACAAUUUCCCUUACACUGCAUCUGUCUAUACUUAAAGUGAUACGAACUUUAACAAAAAUAUUAUGUGUCUUUAUGAUCCUCGUCACCUCGAUCCAGGCACAUCAACGGAUCUUCAUCCGGGUCCUCUUCUUCCUCUUGAGAUUUUCUCGUUUUAUUUUCAAUCCAAGCUUGUUGUUGCUUCUCAAAUUCCUCCUUAUUGAUAGGUGCAGCACUUCUCCCACAACCAGGAGGGAAAUGUUGAACAACGGAUAUAGAUACCUUCCUAGGAUGAGAAUUAUUGAUAGUCCUUUUUCCCAUCUUGUUCGUGUUCUUUUUCCUCGGAUCGACUUCAUUAUGAACCAAUCUUGCGAGACUCCUCAAGCUCUUAAAUAAUGGUUACCUCUCGAGGGAACCGAUCCACUCAGAAAUUAGGUUGGGUUACUUGUUAUGUUUUCACCCUCGGGCACAUAUUGGCUUCGAGCAGUGGAAUCUAGCGAUCCCUUGCUAGUACUAUAAGGGGGUAUCGGGACUAUUGUCUUUUCUAGACAUAGUGUGUGCAACUGGUGCACCUCCACCUAUACGCAACCAAGUAUUAAUUACUCUUCCAUCUAGACAUCAUAAAAACAGGCAGGUUUCUAAUGAAAUAGGGGCCCAUGCAACCUCCCGUCUUUGACUUGUGUUGCGCACCCACAAUCCAAGGACAAGACUCUACACGCACUCCAACAACUCCGCUGACCACAUAGGAAUCCCUAGGAUUCAACUAAAUCUAGAGCUCUGAUACCAUGUUUGUCACAGCCCAAUUUUUGAGCCAUGACCGGUGCAAGGGACCAAUGGGCUCAGCCCACCAAGCCCAAGCAAGCCUACUUACAUGAUCUUAUACGUUAAUCCAUAUUCCUUUAGAAUCCGAAAUUCAUAAUACUUAAUUACAAUUCCUUUGAAAACAACUCAUAAAACCCAGUCAUGUAUUCAUAAUGGCAUCAUCAACCAUUAUAUACAUACAUAUAAUUUGACAAGUGAAUCUCAGCAUUUCACAACAAAUAGUCAUAUACACGUAAUUAGAACUUGACCGUCAGCGGAGUGACUCUGGAUGGGAGAUAUGACUAUUGAAUGUCAAAGUACUUGCCCAAAAGAUGGGAGUACGCGGACACCUCAAUCUAUGUCUCAACCACCCCUGAAUUUGAAAACAUGAAGUUGAAAACGUGAAUAUAAUCUCAGUGAGUGAACAUAGGAAGGGAACAAGCAAUGUUAAGGAAGGUUUAGAAAUCAUGAUGCACAUCUUUGAAAACAAUGCAACUUAGUUCACAUUCUUAUUAAAAUCCUUCCAUCAAACCUCAAAUGAGUAAAUCACUUGAUAAAAAGGGUCCAUGCUCAACAAAGAAUUUGAAGAGUGAAAACUUUAAUAGCAUUCAUCCAAUUCAAGUCAAGUCAACGACGGGUCGUCGCUGCAGCGGAAAGGCAUUCUCGCUGCAGCGGAAAGGCAUUCUCGCUGCAGCGAGAUUUCGACCAGCAUUAUCCCUUCAAAUCCAAGAGUUUCUCACUGUAGCAAGAAUGAAUUUUGUUGCAACGAGAAACAGAGCACCAUGAGAAAGUUUCCUUUCUUUCAAGAAAAAGCCAUACUGCUAAAAUGACAAAAAAAUCAACAUGAAACGCAUAAUAAUUCCCAAAGUUCAACAUGCAAGAUUCACAUGUGCAACACCAUAUACCAUACUCAUGAACUUUCUAUAACACAAAUAUCUAUAUAUGUAUAUAUAUAUAUAUAUCCAUCACCAUACACACCCUCUCAUCAUCAUCAGCUCAUAUGCACUCCCACUAGCACAUGGCUGGGUCAGCAUUGGCUUAUGCACACUCCUACUCGCACAUAGUCAGGUUAGCAUCGACUUAUGCGUACUCCCCCUCGCACAUAGCCUGGUCAGCAUUGGCUUAUGCACACUUUUACUCGUACAUAGCCGGGUCAAUAUCAUUACACAACAUUAUUCGUAUACACACACACAUAUAUGUAUAUAUAUAUAUAUCAACACAGUAUAGGAGCACAUAAGUCCGUCCUAUUACACAUUUCACAUUUUCACAACAUCAAAAUAUUUUAUCAAAAGCUUGUUCCCAAGGUACACGUUUUUAAAGACAAGUUAAAAUAAAUCAUUCAAUGUUUCAUACCAAUACAAUUAUGUCUCCCAAAAUAAUUUUGAAAUGCAAGUUCACUCACUUGGCAACAAUGAGAUUUUAAGUCGCUAUUUGUUCGGAGGUGUCUCUAACUAUUUUCACUAGUCGGUCGUUCGUUAUUUACUCCAGCAUGCCACCACAAUUCUCUAACUUUAUCUUUGCACUUCCUAGCAAUAAUACGAACUCAAUAUAUUUAAUUGCAUACGUAUACGGGCAUCACUUCAAUUAAUUAAUCCUUACUCAAAUUUAUAUUUUCAUUUUAUCAUGAAACCAUCUUCAAUUAACUCACAUCUUAAUACAUUUUUACCAAAAUUACUUACAUCCAUUGCUUACAAAAUUCCUUAGAUUAUAUCAUCGACAACUUAUUUAUGAUGUCAUGUGCCUACUUCAACCUUUCUAAAUAAUUUUCUCCCAAAUCCAUCUUAUAUUUCCACACAUAAUACACAUAUAUGGCAGCAACAAUUAUUCUCACUUUCACUCGAUUAUUUCCUAAUUUACAUGCAUUGUUAUCUAUCUAACUUUCAAUACCCUGUUUCUUAAUCUUCCAUCCAUAAUAUUCCUUUUUUAUUUCUUUCAAACAACAUGCCAUACAAUCUUAACAAUUUUCAACUAGCUUAUGCAAAUAGAUCCUUUCGACAACCAUAAUUCCAUCACAAUAUUCAACUAACCGUAGGCUUUAAAACAUAGUGUUAAGCUUACCGUUUUCCUUUUCCACUUUGAGUCCUUCAUGUACCCAUGGGUUUAUUGGCUUACAUGUUACCAAUUUUUCUCCAAUCAAGCCAAUCUUUGCUGCCACAAGACAUUUCUCUAAGUCACUAACUCAUUUUCAAAGACUACUCAAGCCAAAAACAAGAAUUCUUACCAUUCCUUGCUUGCAUCACCAAAACCAAGCUUUUUCUUCCUUUCUCUCUUUUCCUUUCUU
rnacentral:lncRNA from 1 species